rnacentral:rRNA from 1 species
AGAGUUUGAUCCUGGCUCAGGACGAACGCUGGCGGCGUGCUUAACACAUGCAAGUCUACUUGAAUGCCCUGCUUGCAGGGAACUAUGGUGGCGAACGGGUGAGUAACGCGUAGACAAUCUGCCCUUUAACCCGGGAUAAUUUCGGGAAACUGAAACUAAUACCGGAUAAUAUCAUUAGAUCGCAUGGUCUUGAUGAUUAAAGUUCUUGAAACGAUAAAGGAUGAGUCUGCGUACUAUUAGCUAGUUGGUGAGGUAACGGCUUACCAAGGCGACGAUAGUUAGCUGGUCUGAGAGGAUGAUCAGCCACACUGGGACUGAGAUACGGCCCAGACUCCUACGGGAGGCAGCAGUGAGGAAUAUUGCGCAAUGGGGGUAACCCUGACGCAGCAACGCCGCGUGAGUGAAGACGCAGUUUAUCUGUGUAAAGCUCUGUUAAUCGGGACGAACGGGAUGGAUAGCCUCCAUCUCUGACGGUACCGGUCGAGGAAGCUCCGGCUAACUCCGUGCCAGCAGCCGCGGUAAUACGGGGGGGGCGAGCGUUGUCCGGAAUCAUUGGGCGUAAAGGGCAUGUAGGUGGGUCUUUAAGUCAGUUGUUAAAUAUUACGGCUUAACCGUAUUAUGCAAUUGAUACUGGAGAUCUUGAGUGCGAGAGGGGAUGGUAGAAUGUCUGGUGUAGCGGUGGAAUGCGUAGAUAUCAGAUAGAAUACCCGAGGUGAAGACGACUGUCUGGCUCGCAACUGACACUGAAAUGCGAAAGCAUGGGUAGCGAACAGGAUUAGAUACCCUGGUAGUCCAUGCCGUAAACGAUGGGUACUAGGUGUCCGGGGACUAUCCCCCUGGGUGCCGCAGCUAACGCAUUAAGUACCCCGCCUGGGGAGUACGAUCGCAAGGUUGAAACUCAAAGGAAUUGACGGGGGCCCGCACAAGCGGUGGAGCAUGUGGUUUAAUUCGAUGCAACGCGAAGAACCUUACCUGGGCUUGAACUGUAGAGGACCGAUUCAGAGAUGAAUUUUUCCGGGCAACCGGACUUCUAUAGAGGUGCUGCAUGGCUGUCGUCAGCUCGUGUCGUGAGAUGUUGGGUUAAGUCCCGCAACGAGCGCAACCCUUAUCAUUAGUUGCCAGCGCGUCAUGGCGGGGACUCUAAUGAGACUGCCCGGGUUAACCGGGAGGAAGGUGGGGAUGACGUCAAGUCCUCAUGGCCCUUAUGUCCAGGGCUACACACGUGCUACAAUGGGCGGUACAGAGCGUAGCUACCUCGCGAGGGGAUGCCAAUCGCAAAAACCGUUCUCAGUUCGGAUCGCAGUCUGCAACUCGACUGCGUGAAGUCGGAAUCGCUAGUAAUCGCGGAUCAGCAUGCCGCGGUGAAUACGUUCCCGGGCCUUGUACACACCGCCCGUCACACCAUGGAAGUUGAUAGUGCCCAAUGCAGCUGGUCUAACCCGCAAGGGAGGAAGGCUGUUAAGGCAAGAUUGAUGACUGGGGUGAAGUCGUAACAAGGUA